UGGUCCCACCUGACCCCAUGCCGAACUCAGAAGUGAAACGCCGUAGCGCCGAUGGUAGUGUGGGGUCUCCCCAUGCGAGAGUAGGACACUGCCAGGC
rnacentral:rRNA from 2 species